rnacentral:rRNA from 1 species
CAAUAGCGUAUAUUAAAGUUGUUGCAGUUAAAAAGCUCGUAGUUGGAUUUGUGGCGUACGGUGUGUUCCGGGCACUUGUUGUCUGAGUAACCUGCUGUUGCCAUCCUUGGGUGGAACCUGUGUGGCAUUCGGUUGUCGUGCAGGGGAUGCCCAUCAUUUACUGUGAAAAAAUUAGAGUGUUCAAAGCAGGCUUAUGCCGUUGAAUAUAUUAGCAUGGAAUAAUGAGAUAGGACUUUUUUGCUAUUUUGUUGGUUUGCGCAAAGAGGUAAUGAUUAAUAGGGACAGUUGGGGGUAUUCGUAUUCCAUUGUCAGAGGUGAAAUUCUUGGAUUUUUGGAAGACGAACUACUGCGAAAGCAUUUACCAAGGAUGUUUUCAUUAA